rnacentral:rRNA from 1 species
AACGAACGCUGGCGGCAUGCCUAACACAUGCAAGUCGAACGAAGCCUUCGGGCUUAGUGGCGCACGGGUGCGUAACGCGUGGGAAUCUGCCCUUGGGUUCGGAAUAACAGUUAGAAAUGACUGCUAAUACCGAAUGAUGUCUUCGGACCAAAGAUUUAUCGCCCAAGGAUGAGCCCGCGUCGGAUUAGCUGGUUGGUGAGGUAAAGGCUCACCAAGGCGACGAUCCGUAGCUGGUCUGAGAGGAUGAUCAGCCACACUGGGACUGAGACACGGCCCAGACUCCUACGGGAGGCAGCAGUGGGGAAUAUUGGACAAUGGGCGAAAGCCUGAUCCAGCAAUGCCGCGUGAAUGAUGAAGGUCUUAGGGUUGUAAAGCUCUUUUACCCGGGAUGAUAAUGACAGUACCGGGAGAAUAAGCCCCGGCUAACUCCGUGCCAGCAGCCGCGGUAAU